GCUCAGUCGGUAGAGCAUGGGACUCUUAAUCCCAGGGCAGUGGGUUCGUGCCCCAC
rnacentral:tRNA from 1 species